UACGUAGGGACCAAGCGUUAUUCGGAAUUAUUGGGCGUAAAGGGCGCGUAGGCGGCCAUGCGUGUCUUCCGUGAAAUCCCUCGGCUUAACUGAGGACGUGCGGAAGAAACUGCAGGGCUCGAGUCCGGGAGAGGGGGGUGGAAUUCCCAGUGUAGCGGUGAAAUGCGUAGAUAUUGGGAGGAACACCGGUGGCGAAGGCGGCCCCCUGGACCGGUACUGACGCUGAGGCGCGAAAGCGUGGGUAGCAAACGGG
rnacentral:rRNA from 1 species